AUAGGWUCAGURUUGGUAGGACCUACACCCGUCAACGUAAUUGGAAGAGGCUUGAUGACUCGGAUGGGCUGUACUUUAAAUUUUCCAAUUAGUCCUAUUAAAACUGUACCAGU
rfam:HIV-1 isolate 1182.48-4217-20030915 pol protein (pol) gene, partial cds.